CCCUUAGAUGUUCUGGGCUGCACGCGCGCUACACUGAUGCGUUCAACGAGUUUACGACCUUGCCAGACAUGGCUGGGUAAUCUUCUUAAACUGCAUCGUGAUGGGGAUAGAUUAUUGCAAUUAUUGAUCUUCAACGAGGAAUUCCUAGUAAGCGCGAGUCAUCAGCUCGUGCUGAUUACGUCCCUGCCCUUUGUACACACCGCCCGUCGCUCCUACCGAUUGAGUGCUUCGGUGAAUAACUCGGACUGUAGCAGUUCGCAGUUCCUGCGUCUGCCGCGGAAAGUUUAGUGAACCUCAGCACUUAGAGGAAGGUGAAGUCGUAACA
rnacentral:rRNA from 1 species